AUAAUGAUAAUUGAAACAAUUAUUUGUCCUGUUAUCGCUGAAUUUGAUAGCUUUAUUCGUGAUCAUGAACAACCAUCGUUUCCAAGAACUGUGGCUGAUGCUUAGAUCUAGAAGCAUGUUACAACAAAUGCGACCAAAGCUAUGACAAAUUGGGGUCACCAAUAUCAAAAGAUAGAUGGGAAAAUUGCAGAACGUUGUGCAAAGCGGCAAACUAUGCUAUAGAACGGUGCAAAGAAUACUCUGGUGGGAAUAAAGAUAAAUUUGAGAGAUGCAUGGAAGUAUAGUAUGGAAUGAACUUGUGAAAUCCAUCUUAUAAAAAAUUAAAC
rnacentral:lncRNA from 1 species